CCGCCCGUAGCUCAGCUGGAUAGAGUACUGCCCUCCGAAGGCAGGGGUCGUGCGUUCGAAUCGCGCCGGGCGGGCCA
rnacentral:tRNA from 5 species